GACGAACGCUGGCGGCGUGCUUAACACAUGCAAGUCGAACGAUGAAGCCGGAGCUUGCUCUGGUGAAUUAGUGACGAACGGGUGAGUAACACGUGAGUAACCUGCCCUUGACUCUGGGAUAACUGCGGGAAACUGUAGCUAAUACCGGAUACGACCCUCGGAGGCAUCUCCUGGGGGUGGAAAGAAUUUCGGUCAAGGAUGGACUCGCGGCCUAUCAGCUAGUUGGUGAGGUAAAGGCUCACCAAGGCGACGACGGGUAGCCGGCCUGAGAGGGUGACCGGCCACACUGGGACUGAGACACGGCCCAGACUCCUACGGGAGGCAGCAGUGGGGAAUAUUGCACAAUGGGCGCAAGCCUGAUGCAGCAACGCCGCGUGAGGGAUGACGGCCUUCGGGUUGUAAACCUCUUUUAGCAGGGAAGAAGCGAAAGCGACGGUACCUGCAGAAAAAGCACCGGCUAACUACGUGCCAGCCGCCGCAGUAA
rnacentral:rRNA from 1 species